rnacentral:rRNA from 1 species
UGGGGGAUAUUGCACAAUGGGCGAAAGCCUGAUGCAGCGACGCCGCGUGGGGGAUGAAGGCCUUCGGGUUGUAAACUUCUUUUGCUCUGAACAAGGCAUGCUAAUGGGUGUGUUGAGUGUAGGGGUUGAUUAGCGCCGGCUAACUACGUGCCAGCAGCCGCGGUAAUACGUAGGGCGCGAGCGUUGUCCGGAAUUAUUGGGUGUAAAGGGCUUGUAGGUGGCUGGUUGCGUCUGUCGUGAAAGCUCAUGGCUUAACUGUGGGUUUGCGGUGGGUACGGGCUGGCUUGAGUGCAGUAGGGGAGGCUGGAAUUCCUGGUGUAGCGGUGGAAUGCGCAGAUAUCAGGAGGAAUACCGGUGGCGAAGGCGGGUCUCUGGGCUGUUACUGACACUGAGGAGCGAAAGCAUGGGGAGCGAACAGG